AUGCAAGUCGUACGAAGAUAAAAUUGUGCUUGCAUAAUUUUAUACUGAGUGGCGGACGGGUGAGUAACACGUAAGAACUUACCUUUUGGAGAGGGACAACCACUGGAAACGGUGGCUAAUACCUCAUAUUGCUGAGAAGUGAAAUGAUGAAUAAUCGCCAAAAGAUAGGCUUGCGUCUGAUUAGCUAGUUGGUGAGGUAAUGGCUUACCAAGGCAAUGAUCAGUAGCUGUUCUGAGAGGAUGACCAGCCACACUGGGACUGAGACACGGCCCAGACUCCUACGGGAGGCAGCAGUGAGGAAUUUUCCGCAAUGGGCGAAAGCCUGACGGAGCAAUGCCGCGUGAAGGAUGAAGGCCUAUGGGUUGUAAACUUCUUUUCUCAGAGAAGAAUUUUGACGGUAUCCGAGGAAUAAGCAUCGGCUAACUCUGUGCCAGCAGCCGCGGUAAGACAGAGGAUGCAAGCGUUAUCCGGAAUGAUUGGGCGUAAAGCGUCUGUAGGUGGCUUGACAAGUCUCCUGUCAAAGAUCAGGGCUUAACCCUGGGCAGGCAGGAGAAACUAUUAGGCUAGAGUUCGGUAGGGGCAGAGGGAAUUCCCGGUGGAGCGGUGAAAUGCGUAGAGAUCGGGAGGAACUCCAAAGGCGAAGGCACUCUGCUGGGCCGCGACUGACACUGAGAGACGAAAGCGAGGUGAGCAAAUGGGAU
rnacentral:rRNA from 1 species